rnacentral:rRNA from 1 species
GAUGAACGCUAGCGGCAGGCUUAAUACAUGCAAGUCGAGGGGCAGCAGGGGUAGCAAUACUCGCUGGCGACCGGCAAACGGGUGCGGAACACGUACAGAACCUUCCUUUAAGUGGGGGAGUAGCCCAGAGAAAUUUAGGUAUUAAUACCCCGUAACCAUUAUUUAGUGGCAUCACUUAGUAAUUAUAGAUUUAUCGCUUAGAGAUGGCUGUGCGGCUGAUUAGGUAGUUGGGUGGGUAACGGCCCACCAAGCCUUCGAUCAGUAACUGGUGUGAGAGCACGACCAGUCACACGGGCACUGAG